rnacentral:lncRNA from 1 species
CGCCUGCCUCGGCCUCUCAAAGUGCUGGGAUUACAGGCAUGAGCCACCGCACCCGGCCUGACAAUCACUUUUCAAGUAGCAGAACAGUUUGGACAUGCUCAUUCUUAUACCAAACUUCCAAGACUUUUAAGUUACACAAACUUUUUUUUUCAGAAGGUCAAAGGGGAUAAUUAUCCUCCUCCAAAGAUAAGCAAGACUUCAUUAUUCUAUCCAAAGCCUACAGUAGACUUUUGAUUUUUUGACUUCUAACCUCUGAGUACAAAUAAUGUCUGUACUUGAAGUUUUCCUUUGAGUACAUUAGUCAGUAUAGAUUCAACACUUGACACAAGGGCACAUGCAUGAGAGUACAUGUGUCCACUGUUAAUGUUCUUUGAUGACAACAGAGAAAUUCCAUCACAUAUGAUACAUCUACAUUCUUUCAUUAGCCUACUCUAUACCAGAUGACCUCCACAAUUUUACAGGAAGUGCUGAUGUCCAUUGUCAUAAUUAAACAUUAUUCUGGAGGUUCAGGUAAGGCCUCCUCUCUAAGAGGUGGUUUUCACAUAAAGGAGAAAACUGGCCUUGGUUUUAGAAGACUUAGAUUCACUUCUGGCUCUGCCACUACUCGCUGGGAAACUUGAGCAAACAACUUAAUCUCUCAGCUUCCACAGAAUACUUACACAUCGUGCAGGAUUAUAAUGAGUAUCAAGUGAGGUAAUGUGGGUAAACACAUAUUAAAACUAGUUAAAGUUCUGCUCAAGUGUAAUUCAACAAUUUCCACAGCCAGUUUACCUUGGUGAAUAAACACACCUAGGCAACAGAGCGAGACUCCAUCUCAAAAAAAAAAAAAAAAAAAAAAAAAAGAAGAGACUUCGUCAAAAAAAA